UCCUUACUAACUCCAGUCUGCUUUGGAUCAUCCUGGAAAACCACAAGGGCUUGGGAGGAGCCUGGGGAUGGGAAGGGGACAGCAGGGACCCAGAGCACUGUCCCAGAUUUGUCUGAAGCUCCGUGUGCUCUUGUGUGUUGAUGUGGGUGGAAACAGCAGGGUCUCCCAGAUCUGGUCUAUCCUUUGUGGCCAAUUGCUUGCUCAGUCACCCUCAGACUCAGAGAUCCGCCUGCCUCUGUCUCCUGAGUGCUGGGAUUAAAGGCGUGCGCCACCAUGCCAGGCCACCCUGCAGUUCUUAAGUGUAUUUCCUAUCUGACGUACCCAGCAAUACCAGUAGAGUCCUAACUUGGGAUGAAGGGGACCUAGUCACCAACUGUAUCCCAGGCCUUGGAUUACAACUGCUACAUACUAACUCAUCAACUGUCCCAGAAGACCAUCUUGUCUAUCAUUGCGGAGGCAGAAGCUCAGAGAGGUUUGGUGACUUAUUUGAAGGCACACAUCCAGGAAGGCACAAGCAGAUCCCAGGCAUGGGUAGGGACAGGAGCUCCAAGCUGAUGAGGGACCGGGAAUAAAUCCAAAACUUGGAGGCCAUGUUACACCUGUCACCUGCUGGUGAGGGAGUCAAGAUUCUCCUAGCAUGGAACCCUGGAGCCCUUUGGAAAAGCCAGGGCAGCCUGCAUGUCCAGCCUGGCCCAUGCGGGGAGACUAGCUCCUACCUCGAAGCCGCCUCCUUCCUUCUCUGUGUAUGGUGAAUUACUGAAUGAAAAUUCAAAGCCAACUGUCAAUGGCAAGAAGUGGGAGGAAGGAAAACGGCAAUUAGGAGCCUCACCUCAUUUCCACAGUGUGCUUUAAGCUCCCCAUCAACAGGCAGGAGAGACAACCUGGCUUCGACCUGACUGGGAUCCCACUGGCUUUCUGGUUCUCUCCAGUAGGCCAGCAGGUUCUUGAUGCAGCCAGGCCAAGCAGGGAGGCCCCAGCAUACCAGCCUGGGACCUCAGAGCUGUCUGCCAGGGGCCAGGGAGGCUCCAUUCCCUAGAGAAGUCGCUUCCAGCGGAAUGAGCGGCAUUACAGAAAGGAAACAUUAACAUCAUAAUUAUAAUUCUGCUUAUUUAAUUAAGUUAUUAAAUAGGCCUAGCCUGGGCAAGAUAGAAAAACAA